rnacentral:rRNA from 1 species
GGGUAGCCGGCCUGAGAGGGCGACCGGCCACACUGGGACUGAGACACGGCCCAGACUCCUACGGGAGGCAGCAGUGGGGAAUAUUGCACAAUGGGCGAAAGCCUGAUGCAGCGACGCCGCGUGAGGGAUGACGGCCUUCGGGUUGUAAACCUCUUUCAGCACCGACGAAGCGAAAGUGACGGUACCUGCAGAAGAAGCGCCGGCUAACUACGUGCCAGCAGCCGCGGUAAUACGUAGGGUGCGAGCGUUGUCCGGAAUUAUUGGGCGUAAAGAGCUCGUAGGCGGUUUGUCGCGUCGGUAGUGAAAACCCGGGGCUUAACUCCGGGCCUGCUUUCGAUACGGGCAGACUAGAGUGUGGUAGGGGAGAUCGGAAUUCCUGGUGUAGCGGUGAAAUGCGCAGAUAUCAGGAGGAACACCGGUGGCGAAGGCGGUUCUCUGGGCCCUUCCUGACGCUGAGGAGCGAAAGCGUGGGGAGCGAACAGGAUUAGAUACCCUGGUAGUCCACGCCGUAAACGUUGGGCACUAGGUGUGGGAGACAUUC